rfam:Chelonia mydas contig156694, whole genome shotgun sequence.
GGCACCAUGGCUAAGCUGGCUAACGCGCCUGUCUAGUAAACAGGAGAUCCUGGGUUCAACUCCCAGUGGUGCCU